AGUGAACGCUGGCGGUAGGCCUAACACAUGCAAGUCGAACGGCAGCACAGUAAGAGCUUGCUCUUACGGGUGGCGAGUGGCGGACGGGUGAGGAAUACAUCGGAAUCUACUUUUUCGUGGGGGAUAACGUAGGGAAACUUACGCUAAUACCGCAUACGACCUACGGGUGAAAGCAGGGGAUCUUCGGACCUUGCGCGAUUGAAUGAGCCGAUGUCGGAUUAGCUAGUUGGCGGGGUAAAGGCCCACCAAGGCGACGAUCCGUAGCUGGUCUGAGAGGAUGAUCAGCCACAUGGGAAAUGAGACAGGGGCCAGACUCCUAGGGGAGGCAGGAGGGGGGAAUAUUGGACAAGGGGCGCAAGCCUGCUCCAGCCAUACCGCGUGGGUGAAGAAGGCCUUCGGGUUGUAAAGCCCUUUUGUUGGGAAAGAAAAGCAGCAGGUUAAUACCCCGCUGUUCUGACGGUACCCAAAAAAUGAGCCCCGGCUAACUUCGU
rnacentral:rRNA from 1 species